rnacentral:lncRNA from 1 species
AAACAUCACGCCUCCUAGUCCCUAAGAGAUCGUGGUUAGCCUUUAACUACCACCGUUCAUCAUGGAUUCUCCGACUGACAUGUGUCCCACUUUCUUUUCAACCAUUAAUGUUUGAAAAAACCGCUUCCACUUCAGGAGCUUAUAAAUAGGUAUAGUCAACAGUUUUUCCAACUUUUUCCUCAUUCCGAACUUCCUCAAGAACAAUUUCUUCCAUUCUUCAUCUUUCUCAAACAAAAACCCAUUUUUCUUCUUCUUUCAA